rnacentral:misc_RNA from 1 species
AACUUUCGACAACGGAUCACUUGGCUCUCGCAUCGAUGAAGAACGCAGCGAAAUGCGAUACGUAAUGUGAACUGCAGAAUUCAGUGAAUCAUCGAAUCUUUGAACGCACCUUGCGCCCCUUGGUAUUCCGAGGGGCACACCCGUUUGAGUGUCGUGAAUACUCUCAACCUUCUUGGUUUCUUUGACCACGAAGGCUUGGACUUUGGAGGUUUUUCUUGCUGGCCUCUUUAGAAGCCAGCUCCUCCUAAAUGAAUGGGUGGGGUCCGCUUUGCUGAUCCUCGACGUGAUAAGCAUUUCUUCUACGUCUCAGUGUCAGCUCGGAACCCGCUUUCCAACCGUCUUUGGACAAAGACAAUGUUCGAGUUGCGACUCGACCUUACAAACCUUGACCUCAAAUCGGGUGAGACUACCCGCUGAACUUAAGCAUAUCAAUAAGCGGAGGCU